GGGCGUUGCGCUCCGGCCGCGAGCUGCGUCCUCUCCCCGGCUGCGGGCUGCGUCCUCGCCCCGGCUGCGGGCGUUGCGCUCCGGCCGCGAGCUGCGUCCUCUCCCCGGCCUCGGGCGUUGCGCUCCGGCCGCGAGCUGCGUCCUCUCCCCGGCCUCGGGCGUUGCGCUCCGGCCGCGAGCGGCGGGGUUCGCCCGGCGGCCACCGGCCGUUGAGUCUGGCCUGCGGCGGUGGAGGUGGGGACGCCGGCCGGGGGUCGCCCUUCUCGGGGCUGCGCGCCCAGGCCGGCGGGACGGCGAGGACUGCUCUCUCUCUCUGUGGUCCGUCCUGUCCCCCUCGGGUUUCUUCCUCCGCGUUGCAUUUCUCAACUUAUUUGAGCGAGUUUCUAAUGGCGGACUUGGAGAACUUCGCUGGUUUGUUGGGGAGAGAGGGCCCAUGACCACUGCUGGGGCAGAUACGUGGCCGGCGGUGUUGGGAGCCUUCCUCAUCAUUGACUUUGGGUCCAGAGGACAGAGAGGGUGCUGAUCCGGCGAAUUUAGCAAGAAAUCCGCAUCCUGGCUGGCAUCGAAGCUACUCUGCCCUUCUCCCCGCCUCCCCAGGCUGGCUCACACACCCACUUCCAUCCAGUGGUUGGAAGAAACAGAUUCCGCGUUCUCUCCUCGUUGCACUACCUGUAGUUUUUUGGGCUUUUGAACAUUGUGUCUCCUCGGCCUUGACGUUGGAGGAUAGAACCGCUCUUAAGAAACUCCCUAACCUGUUACCCUUUUGCCUCCUCCCUCUGGCGGUGAGGAGUUGCUGCUGAGUCCGGUUGGUUGUAACUUAAUCGUCUUCCACUAGAACCGGGAUUCUCCUCCACCGAUCUGGUGAAACUUGAGCAGAGAUAAGAAAGCUUCUUCCUCGUGAGUCUCCCCGCUUGCUCUGCUUCUCCCUUUAUUACACGGAGAUGCUUGGUUCACUCGACUGGAAACUCAAGGCUUGGUCCCUUUAGGCCUCCUCUUUCUGAUUCUCAGUUCCAGAGGCUGACGCCCAAGAAGGAAGAUCCUCAGCCUUGAAGUUUCUUAAAUACUGUGUCUGGUGGAUCCUCUCAAACAUUAUAUAUUAAUGUAUGGUAAGUACAUAAAAAUAUUGCAUUGGGAAGAGUGAUGGUGAAUUGAGGACCUCGGUAACAGCAUUGUGGGCAGCCAAUUAAGCCAGCACUUGGGGUUCCUGCCUCACUGAGGCUUAUCUGAGGCUUAGGCUUCACU